rnacentral:ncRNA from 1 species
AAUCUUCAGGGCAGGGUGCAAGUCCCUACCGGCGGUAAAGCCCGCGAGCGCAAGCUGAUUUGGUGAGAUUCCAAAGCCGACAGUUAAAGUCUGGAUGAGAGAAGAUA